rnacentral:lncRNA from 1 species
UUUAUUUUCGUUUAUAUUUGAUGCAUUUAACAUAUAUCCAAAGAUUUAAUAUAGUGAAGAAUCUUGAAAAUUUUUAAAAAUCUAAACCAGUCACAUCUCAUAGGCAGCAUGCACUCAUGCCGUGUAGUCCGUAGUGAGAGUAAGUCUUGCCGCGCCAAGAUGUGACACGGCAGGUCCGCUUUGUCAGCAUAUUACGGUGCUAGACUUGCCACAUCACGUGUCCUACCCCGCCAACAUGUAUGGCGUGGCAGUAUUCAAAUACCUCGCCA